rnacentral:rRNA from 1 species
AUUGAACGCUGGCGGCAGGCCUAAUACAUGCAAGUCGAGCGAGUGGCGGACGGGUGAGUAAUGUCUGGGAAACUGUCUGAUGGCGGGGGAUAACUACUGGAAACGGCUGCUAAUACCGCAUACCAUCCGAUUUGCCCAGAUGGGAUUAGCUAGUGGGUGGGGUAACGGCUCACCUAGGCGACGAUCCCUAGCUGGUCUGAGAGGGUGACCGGCAACACUGGAACUGAGACACGGUCCAGACUCCUACGGGAGGCAGCAGUGGGGAAUAUUGCACAAUGGGCGCAAGCCUGAUAGAGCCAUGCCGCGUGUGUGAAGAAGGCCUUCGGGUUGUAAAGCACUUUCAGCGGGGAGGCGUUACCCACAGAAGAAGCAACGGCUAACUCCGUGCCAGCAGCCGCGGUAAUAC